UACAGGGGGUGCAAGCGUUGUUCGGAAUUACUGGGCGUAAAGCGCGUGCAGGUGGCCCUUUAAGUCCUUUGUGAAAUCCCGGGGCUCAACUCCGGAUGUGCAGAGGAUACUGGAGGGCUUGAGACUGGUAGAGGCGAGCGGAAUUCCUGGUGUAGCGGUGGAAUGCGUAGAUAUCAGGAAGAACACCGGUGGCGAAGGCGGCUCGCUGGGCCAGAUCUGACACUCAGCCGCGAAAGCGUGGGGAGCAAACAGG
rnacentral:rRNA from 1 species